rnacentral:rRNA from 1 species
AAUGAACGCUGGCGGCAUGGAUUAGGCAUGCAAGUCGAACGAUCCCGCUUGCGGGAUAGUGGCGAAAGGGUGAGUAACGCGUGAGUAACCUGCCUUAAGGUUGGGGAUAGCCCUGCGAAAGCGGGAUUAAUACCGAAUGGGGCGUUCUGCUGCAGAGCAGAAUUGCUAANGGAGCAAUCCGCCUUAAGAUGGGCUCGCGUCCUAUUAGCUUGUUGGUGAGGUAACGGCUCACCAAGGCGACGACAGGUAGGUGGUCUGAGAGGAUGGUCACCCACACUGGGACUGAGACACUGCCCAGACUCCUACGGGAGGCUGCAGUCGAGAAUCUUCCGCAAUGAGCGCAAGCUUGACGGANCGAUGCCGCGUGAGGGAUGAAGGCUUUCGGGUCGUAAACCUCUGUCACCCGGAACGAAUAAUUGACGGUACCGGGAGAGGAAGCCACGGCUAACUACGUGCCAGCAGCCGCGGUAAUACGUAGGUGGCAAGCGUUAUUCGGAUUUAUUGGGCGUAAAGGGUCCGUAGGGGGUUCGUUAAGUCUGGUGUGAAAGCCCGCGGCUCAACCGCGGAACUGCACUGGAAACUGGCAAACUA